GAGAGGAACUUGUUCCUCGAGUCGUUGAUUUCACACUGCCGAGAAAAGCCUCUAGCUAGAAUAACGGUGCCCGUACCGCAAACCGACACAGGUAGUCAAGAUGAGAAUUCUAAGGUGAGCGAGCGAACUCUCGUUAAGGAACUCGGCAAAAUGACCCCGUAACUUCGGGAGAAGGGGUGCUCUUUGAGGUUCACGCUUCGAAGAGCCGCAGUGAAUAGGCCCAAGCGACUGUUUAUCAAAAACACAGGUCUCUGCUAAACCGUAAGGUGACGUAUAGGGGCUGACGCCUGCCCGGUGCUGGAAGGUUAAGAGGAGUGGUUAGCGCAAGCGAAGCUACGAAUCGAAGCCCCAGUAAACGGCGGCCGUAACUAUAACGGUCCUAAGGUAGCGAAAUUCCUUGUCGGGUAAGUUCCGACCCGCACGAAAGGCGUAACGAUUUGGGCACUGUCUCAACGAGAGACUCGGUGAAAUCAUAGUA
rnacentral:rRNA from 1 species